CAUGGGGCUCUGCGCCCUGCUCUCCUCUCUCACCUGGGGGAGGAAGUCCACAGUCAGAGGCUCCCACAGCAAUCCCCUCCCUUGCUCAAACCACUGAACCAUCCUGUCCACCAGCCCAGCUUACCUUUUCCACUUGUCUGAAGACCCGCAGCAGGUUUCCACGAAGGACACCUUGAAGCUCUUUCUCACUCCAGCUACGACUCAGCAACUCCUCUAUCAGGACUGGGUAUGUGGACACGUCCUCCAGCCCCUGAGGGAACCUGUGUGGCCACCCACCAGCCAGCUGUGGGACCUCAGCCCUGAUCCUGGGUUAGGGCCUGCUACCCACCAGCCCUAGUCACACAGGGGAAACUGAAGGCCAAGUUCUUCAGGCUAGUGAAUGCAACCGUGGAGGCUCCUGGAGGACUGGGCUUCUGUAGCCUCCACCUGCUGAGCAGAUGGUCAGCCCACAGCUGGUCUGCAGGGCUGGGAGUGGAGCUUAUCUUGGACAGAUGAGCCCUGCCUGGGGAGGGGAGUAUUUAGCAAGUAUGACAACUUGGAGUAGGGCCACUGGGCCACUGAAGGGACAGGGAGAACCUAGGAAACAGGCCCUGAGAGUGGGGAGUGUCGGGUGGGCUACGAGACCAGAGCCUGUGGCUGAGGCCUGGAUAGGAGGAUGGCAGGAUGGGAACGAAGACUAAAGGACUCCCUGCGGCACCCCACCCUAAGAGAAACCUCAGGGAAGCACUCACCGGCCAGCCCCGUCGUAAUUUCCACCAAUCCCGAUGAACUCAGAUCCAAUGACUGCCCUGAUGUGGUCAAAGUGAUCUAAGGUAGAGGUGAGUGUGGGCAGCACUAGGCUGGAGUUAGACCCUGGCACCAGCCCUGUCCCCAGCACUCCAGGCUGUGGCAGUUGGCUCCACAGAGCUAGCUCAUGGCCAGUCAUGAGUCCUGAAGCGGCUACAUGCUGGUCCAUGGACCUAGAGUGGGGACCUCAGAGCCACCCCUUUGGGCCUUUUCCUGCCCAGGAGCCACCCUGCCUCUGGGUUCCUUGAGAGCCUUGUGGGGCUCAGCCUGUCCUGCCCAGACAUGUGGGGAAUGAGAGAAGUUCAAGGAUCGGGAGCAAAACCAAGAGGCAUCAAACCCAUCAGCGCCGACUCUGUGGCUGCAGAUCUGGGUGGCACUGAAGAGCCGUGUCUGCUGCCUCUGGGUCAUUGGGAGGUCUGCCCGUUGCCCAACAGGUGCACUAGACUGCUAGAGUCGUCCUGAGAGCCCUGGCAGCCACAGCCCAAGCUGGCGCUGCACAAAGCUGAGGAGGGACUCACCUGCCACCGUGGACACGUUAGCCAGCAGGUUGCACUGCAGCACCCCCAUGGACAGUGUCACCAUCACGAUGCCACCAUUCUUCUUCUAGACGGAUAAAGGGACACUCAUCUCAGCCCUUCUGGCCUGAAAGCAUGCCUCCUGUGCUGUGGGGGCCCUGGGUCAAGAACCUUUGGAUAACACACGCCUAGCCCUAGGUUUGAGAGCUGGGAUGGCCACCCACCAGAAGCUGCAGGAUGUCAUCGGGAACAUUCAACGAAUUGUCACACACAGCUCUGGCAGCUGAGUGGGAGAAGAUCACAGGAGCCCGAGACACUUCCAGGACCCUUCUCAUCAAGGUGUCCGAUGCAUAGGACAAAUCUAUCAUCAUGCCCAGGCGGUUCAAUUCUUCUACCA